UUAAGCGACUAAGCGUACACGGUGGAUGCCCUGGCAGUCAGAGGCGAUGAAGGACGUGCUAAUCUGCGAAAAGCGUCGGUAAGGUGAUAUGAACCGUUAUAACCGGCGAUGUCCGAAUGGGGAAACCCAGUGCAAUUCGUUGCACUAUCGUUAACUGAAUACAUAGGUUAACGAGGCGAACCGGGGGAACUGAAACAUCUAAGUACCCCGAGGAAAAGAAAUCAACCGAGAUUCCCCCAGUAGCGGCGAGCGAACGGGGAGCAGCCCAGAGUCUGAAUCAGCUUGUGUGUUAGUGGAACGGUCUGGAAAGUCCGACGGUACAGGGUGAUAGUCCCGUACACCAAAAUGCACAGGCUGUGAACUCGAAGAGUAGGGCGGGACACGUGGUAUCCUGUCUGAAUAUGGGGGGACCAUCCUCCAAGGCUAAAUACUCCUGACUGACCGAUAGUGAACCAGUACCGUGAGGGAAAGGCGAAAAGAACCCCGGCGAGGGGAGUGAAAAAGAACCUGAAACCGUGUACGUACAAGCAGUGGGAGCACCUUCGGGUGUGACUGCGUACCUUUUGUAUAAUGGGUCAGCGACUUAUAUUCUGUAGCAAGGUUAACCGUAUAGGGGAGCCGCAGGGAAACCGAGUCUUAACUGGGCGUUAAGUUGCAGGGUAUAGACCCGAAACCCGGUGAUCUAGCCAUGGGCAGGUUGAAGGUUGGGUAACACUAACUGGAGGACCGAACCGACUAAUGUUGAAAAAUUAGCGGAUGACUUGUGGCUGGGGGUGAAAGGCCAAUCAAACCGGGAGAUAGCUGGUUCUCCCCGAAAGCUAUUUAGGUAGCGCCUCGUGAAUUCAUCUUCGGGGGUAGAGCACUGUUUCGGCUAGGGGGUCAUCCCGACUUACCAACCCGAUGCAAACUACGAAUACCGAAGAAUGUUAUCACGGGAGACACACGGCGGGUGCUAACGUCCGUCGUGAAGAGGGAAACAACCCAGACCGCCAGCUAAGGUCCCAAAGUCAUGGUUAAGUGGGAAACGAUGUGGGAAGGCACAGACAGCCAGGAUGUUGGCUUAGAAGCAGCCAUCAUUUAAAGAAAGCGUAAUAGCUCACUGGUCGAGUCGGCCUGCGCGGAAGAUGUAACGGGGCUAAACCAUGCACCGAAGCUGCGGCAGCGACACUAUGUGUUGUUGGGUAGGGGAGCGUUCUGUAAGCCUGCGAAGGUGACCUGUGAGGGUUGCUGGAGGUAUCAGAAGUGCGAAUGCUGACAUAAGUAACGAUAAAGCGGGUGAAAAGCCCGCUCGCCGGAAGACCAAGGGUUCCUGUCCAACGUUAAUCGGGGCAGGGUGAGUCGACCCCUAAGGCGAGGCCGAAAGGCGUAGUCGAUGGGAAACAGGUUAAUAUUCCUGUACUUGGUGUUACUGCGAAGGGGGGACGGAGAAGGCUAUGUUAGCCGGGCGACGGUUGUCCCGGUUUAAGCAUGUAGGCUGGUUAUCCAGGCAAAUCCGGAUAAUCAAGGCUGAGGUGUGAUGACGAGGCACUACGGUGCUGAAGUAACAAAUGCCCUGCUUCCAGGAAAAGCCUCUAAGCAUCAGGUAACAUCAAAUCGUACCCCAAACCGACACAGGUGGUCAGGUAGAGAAUACCAAGGCGCUUGAGAGAACUCGGGUGAAGGAACUAGGCAAAAUGGUGCCGUAACUUCGGGAGAAGGCACGCUGGUGUGUAGGUGAAGUCCCUGCGGAUGGAGCUGAGACCAGUCGAAGAUACCAGCUGGCUGCAACUGUUUAUUAAAAACACAGCACUGUGCAAACACGAAAGUGGACGUAUACGGUGUGACGCCUGCCCGGUGCCGGAAGGUUAAUUGAUGGGGUUAUCCGUAAGGAGAAGCUCUUGAUCGAAGCCCCGGUAAACGGCGGCCGUAACUAUAACGGUCCUAAGGUAGCGAAAUUCCUUGUCGGGUAAGUUCCGACCUGCACGAAUGGCGUAAUGAUGGCCAGGCUGUCUCCACCCGAGACUCAGUGAAAUUGAACUCGCUGUGAAGAUGCAGUGUACCCGCGGCAAGACGGAAAGACCCCGUGAACCUUUACUAUAGCUUGACACUGAACAUUGAGCCUUGAUGUGUAGGAUAGGUGGGAGGCUUUGAAGCGUGGACGCCAGUCUGCGUGGAGCCAACCUUGAAAUACCACCCUUUAAUGUUUGAUGUUCUAACGUUGGCCCCUGACCGGGGUUGCGGACAGUGUCUGGUGGGUAGUUUGACUGGGGCGGUCUCCUCCCAAAGCGUAACGGAGGAGCACGAAGGUUAGCUAAUCCUGGUCGGACAUCAGGAGGUUAGUGCAAUGGCAUAAGCUAGCUUGACUGCGAGCGUGACGGCGCGAGCAGGUGCGAAAGCAGGUCAUAGUGAUCCGGUGGUUCUGAAUGGAAGGGCCAUCGCUCAACGGAUAAAAGGUACUCCGGGGAUAACAGGCUGAUACCGCCCAAGAGUUCAUAUCGACGGCGGUGUUUGGCACCUCGAUGUCGGCUCAUCACAUCCUGGGGCUGAAGUAGGUCCCAAGGGUAUGGCUGUUCGCCAUUUAAAGUGGUACGCGAGCUGGGUUUAGAACGUCGUGAGACAGUUCGGUCCCUAUCUGCCGUGGGCGCUGGAGAAUUGAGGGGGGCUGCUCCUAGUACGAGAGGACCGGAGUGGACGCAUCACUGGUGUUCGGGUUGUCAUGCCAAUGGCAUUGCCCGGUAGCUAAAUGCGGAAGAGAUAAGUGCUGAAAGCAUCUAAGCACGAAACUUGCCCCGAGAUGAGUUCUCCCUGAGACUUUAAGUCUCCUGAAGGAACGUUGAAGACGACGACGUUGAUAGGCCGGGUGUGUAAGCGCAGCGAUGCGUUGAGCUAACCGGUACUAAUGAACCGUGAGGCUUAACCUU
rnacentral:rRNA from 1 species